UACAAUUUCACAAAUUUAUUGGAUGCAUUAUUUCUAUUCAUUACAAAUACAUUAUUUUAAAAGUUAUUUGCUACGUGAGUGUUUUUACACAACUAGUCAUAUUCCACGAACGAUAUCGAGUCGAGAUCUUGGUCUGCAUCCACGUGAAUAAUUCAUGAGGGUUAAACGGUCAAGACUCCUCUCUCGAGACGAUAUAAAUUUUCACAAUAAUCUUGAUAACGGAGAAUUCAUAAAAAGUUCAUAAUAUUUAAAUUUAUGCGUUCCAUUUUGUAAUUUAAGUGCUUAUUGCUUUUUAUAACGGCAUACUUCAUGUGCAAAACGAACUGAUGUGUUAUUAUUUUGCUAUUUCACAAAGAUUUUCUAGGAGUUAAAAAUAUAGAUAGAUAGAAUUAGCAUAUUAUGGUUCCUUUUAUUUAGUAAAUAAUAAAAAAUAACAAUAUGAAAUGACCAUUUGCUAGAGUUGAACAGAAUGUUAAAAAAUACUAUUAUAAAAUCAAAAAGUGAGCCACUUGUAAAACAAUUAACGACCCCGUGACAAAGGUUUAAGAAUCAUAAUUUCCAUUUCGUGUUUUUUUCGUAGUCGUGCACUCUGGGCAGAGUGGUGAUGAUCAUGUCUGUCUAUAACUGAAGGAGCAAAGAAGCAAAUGUGCCUCCUGAUGUUUGCUUAUCUACAUUGCUCACAAAUAGUUUCAAUAUGAGAGGAAAGGAGGUGUUUGGGUCGCCGAAAAUCUUUAUUAACAGAAAACUUCACUUUGGUUUUCUGUGCCAGUGGUACUACCUCAAGCCAGCCUUAUCAUGUUGUGUAAAUAAGAGUACCACCUGCCUUUAUUACUUUCAUUUUUUUUAUUACUUCCACAUUUCAGUAACUAAUACAUCUGACCUUAAGUUGAGUACUGUAUCUCUUUGCAGGAACAUAUUAGAAACAUCAUCCAAUAUGGUAACUAAUAGGUAAAUUUGAUUAUAACCAUUAAACAAACUUUAGUGAUAUUUAAAGAUAUAUUUACUUUGGAAACAUACAUGAGAUUCUUUAGAGCAACCACAUUUAAACAGAGGAUAGUAGGAUAGGAUAUGCAAAAUGAAUUUCAUCGUAUUUUUUAAAGUAUUUAUGCUGCAAUUGCAUGAUAUGAAAAAAUAUAAUAUUAUAGUAGGUAUAUCACAAUUAUUACAGCAUAAGAAAAUUAUAAAAAAUACAUUUGUCAAUUUAGCCAAUAAAGAU